rnacentral:tRNA from 1 species
GCAGGAGUGGUGGAAUUGGUAUACACGAUAGCUUGAGGGGCUAUUGCCUAUAUAGGUGCGAGGGUUCGAAUCCCUUCUCCUGCACCA